rnacentral:rRNA from 1 species
UACGAAGGGGACUAGCGUUGUUCGGAAUCACUGGGCGUAAAGCGCACGUAGGCGGAUGUGUCAGUCAGGGGUGAAAUCCCGGGGCUCAACCUCGGAACUGCCUUUGAUACAGCACGUCUCGAGUCCGGAAGAGGUGGGUGGAAUUCCUAGUGUAGAGGUGAAAUUCGUAGAUAUUAGGAAGAACACCGGUGGCGAAGGCGGCCCACUGGUCCGGUACUGACGCUGGGGUGCGAAAGCGUGGGGAGCAAACAGG